rnacentral:tRNA from 1 species
GUCCCGGUGGUGGAAUCGGUAGACACAGCGGACUUAAAAUCCGCAGACUUCGGUCAUGCGGGUUCAAAUCCCGCCCGGGACA